rnacentral:rRNA from 1 species
UACGAAGGGGGCUAGCGUUGCUCGGAAUGACUGGGCGUAAAGGGCGCGUAGGCGGAUAGUUUAGUCAGAGGUGAAAGCCCAGGGCUCAACCCUGGAAUUGCCUUUGAUACUGGCUAUCUUGAGUUCGGGAGAGGUGAGUGGAACUCCGAGUGUAGAGGUGAAAUUCGUAGAUAUUCGCAAGAACACCAGUGGCGAAGGCGGCUCACUGGCCCGAUACUGACGCUGAGGCACGAAAGCGUGGGGAGCAAACAGG